AACUGGGGUGCCAUCUUCC
rnacentral:siRNA from 1 species